rnacentral:rRNA from 1 species
UACGUAGGGGGCAAGCGUUUGUCCGGAUUUAUUGGGCGUAAAGAGCGUGUAGGCGGCUAGAUAGGUCCGUUGUGAAAACUCGAGGCUCAACCUCGAGACGUCGAUGGAAACCAUCUGGCUAGAGUCCGGAAGAGGAGAGUGGAAUUCCUGGUGUAGCGGUGAAAUGCGCAGAUAUCAGGAAGAACACCCGUGGCGAAGGCGGCUCUCUGGUACGUGACUGACGCUGAGACGCGAAAGCGUGGGGAGCAAACAGG